rnacentral:rRNA from 1 species
GUGAGGAAUAUUGGUCAAUGGGCGGGAGCCUGAACCAGCCAAGUCGCGUGAAGGAAGAAGGAUCUAUGGUUCGUAAACUUCUUUUGCAGGGGAAUAAAGUGCAGGACGUGUCCUGUUUUGUAUGUACCCUGAGAAUAAGGAUCGGCUAACUCCGUGCCAGCAGCCGCGGUAAUACGGAGUAUCCGAGCGUUAUCCGGAUUUAUAGGGUUUAAAGGGUGCGUAGGUGGUUUGAUAAGUCAGCGGUGAAAGUUUGCAGCUUAACUGUAAAAAUGCCGUUGAAACUGUCGGACUUGAGUGUAAAUGAGGUAGGCGGAAUGCGUGGUGUAGCGGUGAAAUGCAUAGAUAUCACGCAGAACUCCGAUUGCGAAGGCAGCUUACUAAGCUACAACUGACACUGAAGCACGAAAGCGUGGGGAUCAAACAGGAUUAGAUACCCUAGUAGUCC